CACGGAGUUAGCCGAUCCUUAUUCUUACGGUACCGUCAGGCUCCUACGCGUAGGAGUGUUUCUUCCCGUACAAAAGCAGUUUACAAUCCAUAGGACCGUCAUCCUGCACGCGGCAUGGCUGGUUCAGGCUUGCGCCCAUUGACCAAUAUUCCUCACUGCUGCCUCCCGUAGGAGUCUGGUCCGUGUCUCAGUACCAGUGUGGGGGAUCUCCCUCUCAGGACCCCUACCCAUCGUUGACUUGGUAAGCCGUUACCUUACCAACUAGCUAAUGGGACGCAUGCUCAUCUUCCACCGUUGUGACUUUAAUCAUAUCCCGAUGCCGGAACAUGAUGCUAUGAGGUAUUAAUCCAAAUUUCUCUGGGCUAUCCCUCUGUGGAAGGCAGAUUGCAUACGCGUUACGCACCCGUGCGCCGGUCUCAAAUUCCGAAGAACCCUACCCCUCGACUUGCAUGUGUUAAGCCUGCCGCUAGCGUUCAUCCUGAGCCAGGAUCAAACU
rnacentral:rRNA from 1 species